CAAAGGCCACCCCGGCACCCCUCCAACAGCCCGAGGCACCGGGAGUGGCCUGGAGCAGCCCAGGCCUUGGGGGCUCACUGCCCCUUCUUCUGAGCCUCUCCUUCAAAUGAUCAGGAGCGGCUGUGGCCAAGUGAAGGCGCUCUCUGGCAAAGAUAGGAGGACAGGAAGAACAGUUUGUGCUGCUAUUUGGUGAGGAGGGAAGAAGCCCCCCAUGGAAAUGAUUUUACUGAGAGGAGCUGCUAAGCGAGAGCUGCCUCUGUGCCAAGCAAAAUCCCAGAGCUGGCUAGCUGUGGGAAGUGACUACCUAUUAAAGCAUUUAAAAAGCUGGA